CAUAUUGGUCAGUGGAGGCAACUCUGAAACAGCCAUGCCGCGUGCAGGAUGACGGUCCUAUUGAUUGUAAACUUCUUUUGUACAGGAAGAAAAAGAGCUACAAGUAGCUUAUUGACGUUACUGAACGAAUAAGGAUCGGCCAACUCCGUGCUAGCAGCCACGGUAAUACGGAGGAUCCAAGCGUUACCCGGAAUCAUUGGGUUUAAAGGGUCCGUAGGCGGCCUUAUAAGUCAGCGGUGAAAGUUUUUGGCUUAACCAAAAAAUUGCCGUUGAUACUGUAGGGCUUGAAUUUUUGUGAAGUAACUAGAAUAUGUAGUGUAGCGGUGAAAUGCUUAGAUAAUACAUGGAAUACCAAUUGCGAAGGCAGGUUACUAACAAACGAUUGACGCUGAUGGACGAAAGCGUGGGUAGCGAACAG
rnacentral:rRNA from 1 species